GUGGGGAAUAUUGGACAAUGGGCGAAAGCCUGAUCCAGCCAUGCCGCGUGUGUGAAGAAGGUCUUCGGAUUGUAAAGCACUUUAAGUUGGGAGGAAGGGCAUUAACCUAAUACGUUAGUGUUUUGACGUUACCGACAGAAUAAGCACCGGCUAACUUCGUGCCAGCAGCCGCGGUAAUACGAAGGGUGCAAGCGUUAAUCGGAAUUACUGGGCGUAAAGCGCGCGUAGGUGGUUCGUUAAGUUGGAUGUGAAAGCCCCGGGCUCAACCUGGGAACGGCAUCCAAAACUGGCGAGCUAGAGUACGGUAGAGGGUGGUGGAAUUUCCUGUGUAGCGGUGAAAUGCGUAGAUAUAGGAAGGAACACCAGUGGCGAAGGCGACCACCUGGACUGAUACUGACACUGAGGUGCGAAAGCGUGGGGAGCAAACAGGAUUAGAAACCCGUGUAGUCC
rnacentral:rRNA from 1 species